rnacentral:rRNA from 1 species
GACGAACGCUGGCGGCGUGCCUAAUACAUGCAAGUAGGACGCACAGUCUAUACCGUAGCUUGCUACACCAUAGCUGUGAGUUGCGAACGGGUGAGUAACGCGUAGGUAACCUGCCUAUUAGAGGGGGAUAACUAUUGGAAACGAUAGCUAAUACCGCAUAACAGUAUGUAACACAUGUUAGAUGCUUGAAAGAUGCUAUUGCAUCGCUAGUAGAUGGACCUGCGUUGAUUAGCUAGUAGGUAGGGUAAAGGCCUACCUAGGCAACGAUAUAUAGCCGACCUGAGAGGGUGAUCGGCCACACUGGGACUGAGACACGGCCCAGACUCUACGGGAGGCAGCAGUAGGGAAUCUUCGGCAAUGGGGGGAACCCUGACCGAGCAACGCCGCGUGAGUGAAGAAGGUUUUCGGAUCGUAAA